GAUGAACGCUGGCGGCGUGCCUAACACAUGCAAGUCGAGCGAACGGACGAGAAGCUUGCUGUUCUGAUGUUAGCGGCGGACGGGUGAGUAACACGUGGAAAACCUACCUAUAAGACUGGGAUAACUUCGGGAAACCGGAGCUAAUAGCGGAUAAUAUUUUGAACCGCAUGGUUCAACAGUGAAAGACGGUCUUGCUGUCACUUAUAGAUGGAUCCGCGCUGCAUUAGCUAGUUGGUAAGGUAACGGCUUACGAAGGCAACGAUGCAUAGCCGACCUGAGAGGGUGGUCGGCCACACUGGAACUGAGACACGGUCCAGACUCCUACGGGAGGCAGCAGUAGGGAAUCUUCCGCAAUGGGCGAAAGCCUGACGGAGCAACGCCGCGUGAGUGAUGAAGGUCUUCGGAUCGUAAAACUCUGUUAUUAGGGAAGAACAUAUGUGUAAGUAACUGUGCACAUCUUGACGGUACCUAAUCAGAAAGCCACGGCUAACUACGUG
rnacentral:rRNA from 1 species